UGUGUGUCCUAGAUGGUUGUGCCUUCCACAUUAGGGCCUUGGGAAGGUGAACUACAGCUGCUUUCUCCUGUUCUAAUUUCUUCCACCCAGCACUGCAACUACACAUCAGUCGGCUGGUUGUUGUAGGAGUGCUGACUGUGCCUCAAACUCACUGUUGACCUACAGGAAGUCAGUGAUGACCCAGGGCCUUAGCUUCUUCUUCUGCCCAUGGAACAUUAAGCAGGAGUGAGGUCAUGCCAGUUCUAGACUGAAGCUUUAAGAGGCCCGUGUGUUUCUGUUCUCUUCUUUGAGCUCCCAUCAUUCAUGAAAACACACCCUGAGCAGCUGCUGGUUCCAGAACGAAUUUCACAAUGUAGAUUCAACUUGAAUCCAAACUGAAGAUUGAGUGUUGCCAAGACUAGUAGAGGCACAGCAAACCUACAGAUUUUUAAACAGAAUAAAUGCUUUCUGAUGACAGUUACUGAGAUUUGAGGUGAUAGUAACACAGCAUUAUCACUGUAGAAAUCUCACCAAGACACCUAACUAGUUGACGAGAGAGCCAGAAUUAGGACAUAAUUGUCUGAAUGGUAAUCCAAAGUCUUUCAACUAAAUUAUUCUGCACAUUCAACAAAUAUUUAAUUUAUAUGUACUAUGGACAAGAGAGUAAAACACAAACCAAACUAUGGACUCUGCCCCUAGAGAGAACAUAUUUCUAGCGAGGGAAACAGACCAAACAAAUAAAUUUAAAUCACAGAAAAUGACAACUUCUUAUAAUAGCACAAAUGUCCUUCUGAGGGAUAGAAAUGGGUGGGAAGAAGGAAAGAAGAUGACCACUUUAAGAAACUGAAGACCAGGCCUGAAGAGCAAGUUGUCCAAGGACACUAUGGUACUGCAGACAUUGGUGUCUUUCAGGUUUCUUCUCCCUUGAUGUGACUAGACUGUUUCAUCAGUCACCAACUCAUCCUACCACACAUACCUACAUUGAUGUACUGUACUACCAUAGGCCCAAAGCAACAGACCCAGGAUACCAUGAAUGGGAAGCUCUUAAACUAUGAGUUACUUUAAAUAAAUACAAGAUGGGAGAAAGAAAAUGUGCGAGAAAACUACAGUGUUGUUGGCAGGACAAGUAACCCAAACUGGAAGAGGGUCCCUGCGUUCAAUUUCCUCUCAGGAAGUUUUACCUUCAGAAGUCCAAGUAGAGGUCAAACUGUGGGUUGCCGGAAAUAGUAAUGUCCUUUACCGUCUGAGCGCCAGACGACACUUAAUGAAACCUCCUACUUUGUGGACAUUGCUGCUCCUGCUGAAUUAUGAAGCUUGCCAUGCACCACUUCUGCAGAGGAUAGCUUUGUUUUUGCAAAAUGCAUGGAAUGGAGUUUGUGGGUAUAUAGAUUGCAGGCAAUGAGAGACCUGAAUGAAUAUGUGAGAAUGACCACAAGCCACCAGACGUGGGUGUUUAUCCGUUUGCCUCAUUACUAAGAGUUUUUAGUUCUAAAAAAUAUCCGGGAGGAUUUAGCUUUGGGGAAGUAAAUGGGGAGAGGGAAUAGAAUAAGAUUUUUUAAAUUUAAAACAUAUUUUUUGAGCUUCCAACUGAUAUAUUCCAACUUCUUUACACUUGAAUCAGGGUUUCAUAAAGGGCAGUAGAGGAAAGAUUUUAUCAGUGCCCAUAGGCAUUAGAAAUUGAUUUUGACAGGAAUCAAUAAUUGGGAUAGAUUCAAACUAAAAAGCUUUUUCUCAGCAAAGGAAACAAUCAACAAUGUGAAGAGAGAGCCUACAGAGUGGGAGAAAAUCUUUGCCACUCACACUUCAGA